rnacentral:pre_miRNA from 1 species
UGACAUGGCAGCCACGGUUUACGUACUCAUUUACAUUCUUUAAGACGCUGGUUUUAAUUUCCUUAUGGAAUGUAAAGAAGUAUGUGAAAGUGGGAUGCCCUU